UACGUAGGGUGCAAGCGUUGUCCGGAAUUAUUGGGCGUAAAGAGCUCGUAGGCGGUCUGUCACGUCGGCUGUGAAAUCCCGAGGCUCAACCUCGGGUCUGCAGUCGAUACGGGCAAACUAGAGUAUUGCAGGGGAGACUGGAAUUCCUGGUGUAGCGGUGAAAUGCGCAGAUAUCAGGAGGAACACCGGUGGCGAAGGCGGGUCUCUGGGCCGAUAUUGACGCUGAGGAGCGAAAGCGUGGGGAGCAAACAGG
rnacentral:rRNA from 1 species